CCUUUCUCCUGGAAGAACUUUGUGGACACUGUCCGUGACACUACAGCAGCACAUCAGGCACUGUUGGUGGCCAAGAACAUCGACUUGUUCCCGCAGAACCAGGAGCGCUUCAGCGACGGCAACAUCGAUGUGUGGUGGAUCGUGCACGAUGGGGGGAUGCUCAUGCUUCUGCCGUUCCUGCUGCGCCAGCACAAGGUGUGGCGAAAGUGCCGGAUGCGCAUCUUCACGGUCGCCCAGGUGGACGAUAACAGCAUCCAGAUGAAGAAGGACCUGCAGAUGUUCCUGUACCAUCUCAGGAUCAGCGCCGAGGUGGAGGUGGUAGAGAUGGUUGAAAAUGACAUUUCUGCAUUCACCUAUGAGAAGACGCUAAUGAUGGAGCAGAGGUCACAGAUGCUGAAACAGAUGCAGUUGUCAAAGAAUGAGCGGGAGAGAGAGGCCCAGCUGAUUCACGACAGGAACACUGCAUCCCACACCGUAGCAACGGCUAGAACUGAAGCCCCACCAACACCUGACAAAGUGCAGAUGACAUGGACGAAAGAGAAACUCAUUGCAGAGAAACACAGGAACAAGGACACCGGCACAUCAGGCUUCAAAGACCUUUUCAGCCUAAAGCCGAGUGGGGAAACCUGGACCAGUCCAACGUCAGAAGGAUGCAUACUGCUGUGAAGCUCAAUGGUGUGGUUCUCAACAAGUCCCAGGAUGCUCAACUCGUCCUGCUGAAUAUGCCAGGCCCCCCAAAAAGUCGGCAGGGCGACGAGAACUACAUGGAAUUUCUUGAGGUCUUGACCGAAGGGCUGAACAGGGUCCUCCUGGUCAGGGGUGGUGGCCGGGAAGUCAUCACCAUCUACUCCUAACACCUGAAGCCUGGACACACAUGGAUGGGGUCAGGACUUCGCGAGCUGCCUGUGACCAGGCUGGGGCUCACCAGGUGCUGCUGACUGAUGGCCUACCCUAGCACCUGUUGCCUGGCCAACCAAGAUGUUGCAGUGAUCCUGGUCACCCUGACACACAUGGCUUCCCACAGACAUAAUACUCCGUAGGCUUCCUCCAAGCAGAGGAUGCUACAUGGGGAGUAUCUAGAGCUGUUCUGACAGGAAUGGCUCCUUAACAUUGUCGUGGGCAACGGUAGGUAUACCCAGGGGAUCUGGGGCAGCUCUGGCGCCUCUGUACCUUUCACGAACCUGACAGAUGAACCAGAACACGUGAACAAGCACACAGUUCCUUGGGGCUAGAAUGUCACUGAGCGGUUCUCCAUUGGCUUCUGCCUUCUUCGUUCCUUGGAGCAUCCCUGAUGUGCUUUCUGUACAGUAGGCACACUGAGGACUGUUCACCCUCACGCACACCUCACCUCCUUAUUUCCUCCCCGCUCUCCUCAGACACGGCUCAGGGUACCACUGGAAAGUGACAUAGUGUUUACAGGAUAGGAGUGGGUCACCAUUAGAGCCGGUGGUGCCUGCCAGCUCUGUUCCCAUCUGAGUUGAUGCCCUAGGAGCUCCUGCAGAGAGAACCUUUGUUCUGCAGGGCUCUCUGCAGUGAGCCCGCGUUCUCUUCUCACGGGAACUCAGUCACUUUACUUCAUAAGCACUGAGCUGGGACCUCAAGCGGGUGACUACCGGGAGCCACAGUGUGACAAACAGCAGGAACACUGAGAACUCUGCACAUAGUCCAUGAUGACAGCAAGGCACCUUCCAGAGUGUGAACCAUGCACACAGCUUCACAUAUGACAUGCCGUCCCAUCCCUCACCCUCCUGGAGAGAACAGCCAGGCCCAGCCCAGUACCCUCGGCAUCGGCAGCCACAGCCCUGGGUCUUUCUGGCUGAGUCUCUUGUCUCCUGCUGUGGAGCCUUGCUCAGCCGGGGCCAUGGGCGCCUCUGCACUUUCUAAGGAGCUGACAGAUGAUUUGCACUUUACCCUUGGGCAUUCUGUUCUGUAGGUCAUGGUUUGUUCACAGGCUGUGGGCAACAGCAGUGAUCCGUUCCUCACAUUGUGUGUGGCAUAUUUAUUUAUUUAACCCUCCCUGGGGAAGCUUGAUAGAGAUAGCUUCUGUGUGGAUGCCCCGUGCUGCCAGGCUCUGGGCAUCUCUGGCUUCCUCCGAGAGAAUCAACCCCGUCCACACUCACGACGUUCUGGUUAGGGUAGAAGCCAAGUUUGCACCUGCACAGUUUCUUCAGACUUUGUUAGGCAGCCAGAGGUAGGCUUGCCAAGUAACUGCUGCCCGGUGUGUGUCCCCAUCAGGGUAGUGAUUUCCACACCUGCUUUUGACUCAGCACUGGACUUGGCUCAGACUCCUGAGCCCUCGAUGUCUAGAGCAGAGCAGGUGGGGCGCUGCUCCCAGCUGUCAGGAAUGCCUUGGGCAGGUGGCCCUUUCAGGUUCUGGGUCACUGCUUACAAGAGCUGCCUGUCAAGAGUGUCCAGCCUCCUUAUCUCGCAGACUCCGUGUUCCUGGUAACUGUGGCCAUUCAGAUCAGUUUCAUGUUUUCCUUUUUAUAGGCUUUUGCCUUUGUAUGACUUUGUUAGUAGAAGAGUAAAGUUCUAUAAAAUAUAAAUGUUUAAGG
rnacentral:lncRNA from 1 species